GGCAUAAAUUAAGCAACAAUGGCCACGCGAGGUCUCGUCCGCCGCGGAGCUCCAGUGGUGGGCACUGCCACCUUGCCAUCCCUAGUCCCCACCGCCCUUCGCAGAGUCGAGUCCGGGAGGCUGACGGUUUUCUGGGUUUGCCAGCGCAUCGCUGCAACUAAUGAUUAAAGAAACCAAACCGAAACUUACCUUUCUCCCUUAAGGUUUUUGUGUAUGUGUGUUUUUAAAGUAACGGUGCAGUUCUCCCAAUAAGGAUGAGCAAGAAGCUGCUGGAUAGUUCUCUUAAGACAGCACGAAACCUAAACUGUGCUCGGCUUAAAAGAAGCAAAUAAAAAGAAACGCUUUCGACCCCAAAGUCCAAUGCUAAAAGAAAUGGCGAAAAAAAAAAUAUGAAAGGGGAGGGGAAACUUAAAAAAGAGUUUAAAAAGACGGAGAGACUACCCUCCUAUUGCCGUUCAACUAAACAAAAAGGGGCAAGAAAAACAAACCAAGGAACAAAGAAAAGAGACGAAAGAACGUUUUUUCAAAAAGACGAUGUCUUUCUCCUUGUUGCUUUUUAGUAGGUCGCUACAGGAGUAAGCUGCUGCAUCUCUAACUGAGAACAGAAAUAGGGGGGAGGACGUCUUAAAAGGGAGGUGGACUGGACCACAGAUUUAUAGCACCGUAUCACCAACCCCUUCUCUGCCUCCGCACUGCCGUGUGUGCAGCUGCUCUGCCAGGCUCCUAUCCCGGGCAGCACGCGCGGAAGUAUACGCCGAAUCGCGCCACAACGUAACUUGCUCAUCGCCCCAGGAUCCUGAUUGGUCCAGACGCUUCCAUUGAGUCCGCCCAGGCGGUGCCGCGUGAGACGAUUGGCUAUGGGCUUGUGUCACUCUCGAGAGCUCAAUGGAGUCCCGUUUCAAGAUCUGGGUGAAACUCAUAGCAAGAAGAAAGAAAAGCACUUUGAAGAAAUGGAGUCAAGGGAGAAAAGACAGAAAGACUCCACCCCAUCUAGACUAGAUGUAUGAAUAACAGAAGAUUGGGUUUGUAGUCAUCUUCCUUCAACUCCUCCCCUUGUCCCCAGCUCCAUACAGAGAAAUAACCUUUAAAUGAACACAAUUUGGGGAAAGUAUAAUACUGUUUGAUUUCAUCAGACUUACCUAUGAAGUGAAUUGUCUUUCCUCCUUGUUACCAUGCUCUUAGGUUAAUAUUGAAUUAGUUGCAUAUGCCCAUAUAAUUUCAGUACAUUGAAGUAAAUCUUUACCAUUAUAAUUAUAUAAGUGCCUUCUAACUAGGUGGAAACUAAUACUUUUUUUUUUUGGUGCAUGUUUAUAUCCACAAAAAAGAUUUGUAGAUAACUGUGAUAUCUAUCUGUAGGUAACCCAAAAUGAUAGGGACAGGUGUGAAAAGCUGGGAGUGAUAUGGAGUAAUAAAAAUCUAGCAUGUGUAUUAGGUAAAUAAAUUACAUGGAAAAUAGUAAACUUGUUCAUUCAAAUGAAAAAUGCUAAAUUCUGUAGAUUCAGUAUUUAUGGUUUUUUUCAGCUUGGGCAGAGUGAAAAAAUAUUAUUCAAAAUAUUGUCAUCCCUAACAUGUUGUCUUUUUAUGUAGGCAAAAUGGACUUAAAUUAUUUAAAAAGUGAAAGUAUCUUAAAAUACUAUUUUACUUCCUCAUUAAAACAGAUGUUUUUACAUUUUAAAACUUUUAAAUGGAUAGACGUAUUAUAAGCAACAUGUACUUUUUCAACUUUUAAAAAUAAAAAAUAUUGAUUAUAGCCUCUUUAAAACAAGUGAUAUCUGGAUGUAGAUUUCACUUUGAAAUUCAUGUCUCAUAGCUUGAAACAUUAACAACUACAUACCAUCCUAUGAUUAAUUAAUAAAGGCUAUGUGCAAACAUCUCACUUAAGAAUAAGCAAAAAAUGCAAUCAACCCCUUUUCACUCACAGUUUGGUAAAAGAAUUAUCCACAACAUCUGAAUUUGCAUUAGAAAGUAUUUAAAAGACAUUUGAAUAUGAUUAAGUUAUAUGAACUCUGACAUAUCUUCCAAGUUCCUGACAUUAUUUUGAAUUGCAGCAGAAAAGAGAGAGAUGAAGAGAAUGACUGCGAACUUGCAGCAAAAGUGUGAGGUGGAUAAAGUUGCAAAAGAAUAGUUCUCAAAACCGAAAAAGUAAUGAAUGUAAUUGAUUAUUUUACUGAAGUUUCUAUAUAAGAGAACAUUUAUUCUCAAGAAUAUGCAAAACUGUUGUGGAAAAUGUCUUUUAGGAUAAAUAACUCCUUUACACUACAGGUCUUGGGGGCAAGGGAAGGAGUGAUUUUACAUUUUAUAAUAAAAGUUGCUGUAAACUACUUGUAACGUUUUUUAAGUAAAUAAAGAAGUUAAACUAU